rnacentral:rRNA from 1 species
GAUGAACGCUGGCGGCGUGCCUAAUACAUGCAAGUCGAGCGAACAGACGAGGAGCUUGCUCCUCUGACGUUAGCGGCGGACGGGUGAGUAACACGUGGAUAACCUACCUAUAAGACUGGGAUAACUUCGGGAAACCGGAGCUAAUACCGGAUAAUAUAUUGAACCGCAUGGUUCAAUAGUGAAAGACGGUUUUGCUGUCACUUAUAGAUGGAUCCGCGCCGCAUUAGCUAGUUGGUAAGGUAACGGCUUACCAAGGCAACGAUGCGUAGCCGACCUGAGAGGGUGAUCGGCCACACGGAAAUGAGGACACGUUCCAGACUCCAACGGAAGGCAGCGGUGGGAAUACUACGGCAUGGGGCGAAGGCCUAACGAGGCAACGCGGCGGGAGUGUGAAGGUUCUUCGAUUCGUAAAACUUUUUAAUUGGGGAGAAACAAAGUUGUAGGAAACUAGGCACGUCUGAACGUAACCUAAUAAGAAGGCCAGGCCAAACUAGGU